rnacentral:rRNA from 1 species
AUUGAACGCUGGCGGCAUGCCUAACACAUGCAAGUCGAACGGUAACAGCAGAGCUUGCUCUGGCUGACGAGUGGCGGACGGGUGAGUAAUAAAUAGGAAUCUGCCUAGUAGUGGGGGACAACAUGGUGAAAACCAUGCUAAUACCGCAUACGCCCUACGGGGGAAAGCGGAGGAUCUUCGGACUUCGCGCUAUUAGAUGAGCCUAUUUCUGAUUAGCUUGUUGGUGAGGUAAUGGCUCACCAAGGCGACGAUCAGUAGCUGGUCUGAGAGGAUGAUCAGCCACACUGGGACUGAGACACGGCCCAGACUCCUACGGGAGGCAGCAGUGGGGAAUAUUGGACAAUGGGGGCAACCCUGAUCCAGCAAUGCCGCGUGUGUGAAGAAGGCCUGAGGGUUGUAAAGCACUUUCAGCAGUGAGGAAAUCGUUUACGGAUUAAUACCCGUGAAGCUUGACGUUAACUGCAGAACGAAGCAACCGCUAACU